CUGAAGAACCUCGCCCCGCCCUUGCAGCCUCAGGAUUCCAAGCCCACAGCCCUCAGACGUCACAGUGCCCCAGCUUAUCAGAGCACAUAGUGUAGACAGAGGCCCAGGGAGACAGCAUGAGCUUGUGAUGGUAGCCAUGUUGUCCUGGCUCCCAGCCCAGGGUUCUUCUCGAGGACAGACCCAUCCCCUAAAGAGGCUGCCAAGGCCCAGACACCUUUUUUGGAAAACUGAAUCCUCCUUAGUGCUGGGGAUCUAUGGAGCAGGCUUCCUAGCAGCCCUCGGGCUGGGCCCUGGCAGAGAAGGGAAAUGGGCUGGUCAGGGUGGAGAAGGUACGCGGAAGGACUUCGCGAGGGAGGAGACAGCUCGGCAAGCACAAGGAGGCAGGGAACCCAGGACACACGCCGGGAUGAAACGGCAUCUUCCAAGCCGAGGAGGUGGGCUCACCACCAGACACACGAUUCUGAAGACCUCCCAGGCCUAUCCUGCCAUCUUACAGAUGGGACACGAGAAGCUAGAGAAGAGCAUGGCUGCCUUAGUUCACACAGUCCUCGAGAGGAGAAGUUGUCAAACGAUGCUAAAGGGGACAGUGUCACCUACCUGCCCACCCUGUGGGAAAAUCGACUGGGAGAAAAGGAGGUGGGAAGGCUCAGAGCUAUUGGAGAAGCACCAGCCCCUUCCAUGGGGAACAGCCGGAGGAUAGAACAGCAUCAAAGAAGCCAAGGUUCCCCGUGUCGGGGGGGGGGGGAGGGGCUCAGGACCACCAGCACCCCCAGUAUCAGGACCUCCGGCAUCCCCCAAAAUCAGCUCUUUCCAUAGCCUCUGUGACAGGUGUUUUGCCAACCUCAGCUACUACCUGAAAAAGCCACAUCCCUGACUGACAUGUUGGAGUGGAGCACUGCCUCUUGGUAACACCCCCCACUGGUGUCCACCCAGCCCUUAUAGCUCCCGACCCUGUGCUCCCUGGGUCCAUGACACCCCUGCACUACUCAGAAGGCAGUGCCCAUACCCUCCUUGGCCUGCCCUCCUCUGGACCAGAGUUCCUGCCCAUCCACACUUUCUCAUCAGACAAGCUCCAUUUCCCUUCUCUCUCCCCUGGACAGCCAGGAGCCAGGAUACCGUGUCUCAGACCUGGCUGUGCCUCACACCAAGUAUGUGGCAUUGGACACGUCUCACGAUGUCUGCUCAUCUGGAAAACAGGGAGGCUAAAUUCAAUAGGCUCAGAGGCGCCAAGGGACCAUAGGGCACAGAGCCCGUGUUCCUGAAGUCAGUGAUUCCAAUGUUCUACCAUAAUGAAAAUAAAAACAGACAUUUAGCA